UACGUAGGGUGCAAGCGUUGUCCGGAAUUAUUGGGCGUAAAGAGCUCGUAGGCGGUUUGUCGCGUCGAAUGUGAAAACCCGGGGCUCAACCCCGGGCCUGCAUUCGAUACGGGCAGACUAGAGUUCGGUAGGGGAGUCUGGAAUUCCUGGUGUAGCGGUGAAAUGCGCAGAUAUCAGGAGGAACACCGGUGGCGAAGGCGGGUCUCUGGGCCGAAAUUGACGCUGAGGAGCGAAAGCGUGGGGAGCAAACAGG
rnacentral:rRNA from 1 species